UCUCUUCUUUAAUGGGUUCUUCGAAUUUCUCAUUAUUCUCAAAGUUUUUGUGAUUUUUACUGAGAUUUUGUUUGAAUUUUCCUUAAUUUUUCUUGGGUUCGCACAAAAAAACGUUGAAUGCUUCCUCCUUGUCCAAGAAACGUUGAUGGGAUUAAUAUUGAUCCUGAACCUAACUGGAAUUUCGAUAGCUUAGUAACUGAGACUGAGUCUGUUGAAAAGAAGCUCAAUGCUUUUCAAAGUUUCCCCAGCCAAUUACUAACCCAACCUCACGGCAAUUACGCAGAGUAUAUGGAAGCUCUGCGAGAGUAUACUUUGAGCCCCCUGCGUAAUUGAGCCGCUGCAAGAUUUGGACAGAGUACUCCACAAGAUUUUUAAACUCCUCUCUUUCUUUAUUGUUUUCUGUGUUCUACAUGUAUUUUUGUAAGCGUGUUUACAGGUUCUUUACUACUUCUGCAUAAAAUUUGGGAUUGUUUUUUUUUUGGGUACCUCUAGCAACUUGUUUCUAUCAGAGCGAUUAUAACUAGAUGAUGCUUGUAUUGAAGAUCGCAAGGUCAAAGAUUGUUUAAGUAGCAUUAUU